rfam:Triticum aestivum genome assembly, contig: Triticum_aestivum_CS42_TGACv1_scaffold_473155_6AL
CCCUUGGUAGUUCAGUGGUAGAGCGAUCCGCUGAUGUUAAUUUACUGGUGUAGGUUUGAAUCCUACUUGGGGAG